AUGUAUAAUUAUUACAUUCAUAUGUAAUAUCUGAACACAAAACCUUAUAUCCGGUUUAAUAGCGAGAAAAAUCUUUGUUUACUGUAUGGUGAAAAGUAUCACGUGGGAAUAUUGUAUAUUUAAUGUAUGAAAGAAUUAAAUGAUACAUUUUUUUUUUUAUUUUUUGAUAAUAUGGACAUGUUUGAAUUAAGUAUUUGGAAAGGUGAUUGGGGUUUACCAUCAGUUGACACGGAAUGUUUACAGGUUCUGGUUUAUGCCAAAUUCAAUGGUAUACCUUUGAAAAUUAAUUCAGCUGGUAAUCCAUUUACAACACCCAAUGGCAGCUUACCUGUAUUAAAGACUAGAAAUGGUACAUUCAAUGCAGUCAAAGAUAUAAUAGAAUUUUUUAGAAAAGAACGUUAUAAUACAGAAUACGAAUUAAGUCGAAAACAAUGUGCAAAGGUUAUGGCUUAUGGUACAAUGUUAAAAGAAAAAUUAUUUCCGGCAUUACAGUUUAUUUGGUGGAUAGAUGAAAAAAAUGUAAAUGAAUUAAUAAGACCAUGGUAUUGUAAAGCAUUGCCUUUUCCAUUUAAUUUUUAUUAUCCAGGAAAAUUCGAACGACAAGCCCAUACUAUGUUUGUAACUUUAUAUCCACUAGAAGAUAAUAUAACUGCUAUAGAAAAUAAGGUCUAUUCUGAAGCACAAAAAUGUUUAACACUAUUAUCUACAAGUCUUGGAGAUUCACAAUAUUUUUUGGGUCAAAAACCUACAAUAUUAGAUGCUAUUGUAUAUUCUUAUUUGGCUCCUUUGCUCAAAGCUCCUUUACCAAAUCCAGCACUUCAAAAUCAUUUAAAAGCAUGUACAAAUUUAGUAACAUUCAUUUCACGCAUAUCAGAAAAAUAUUUUGCAAAUGAAUGUUGUGAAUAUAAAGCCAAAGAAAAUGCUCAAAAUAUAAGAAAAUAUUCACAAAAUGAGUUUCCUAAUAAAAGACGUAACCAACUUUUUGCUGGUUUAUUUACUACUUUGGUAAUGGCAACUUACAUGUUUUCAACUGGAAUAUUAGAGAAAUGGAAACUAGUAAGAAUUCCUCUAAGACAUAGGAGAUAAAAAAUCAAGACUUUUUUAUUCAACUAUGGAUUUAUGUUUGAGAUAAGAAGAAAUUACAAGUAACAGUAAAGGAUAGUCAAAUUCCAGAUGUAUUUACAGAAGUUAUAUCUAUCAAUGAUAAAUAAAAUAAAAAAUUACAAAA
rnacentral:misc_RNA from 1 species